GUAGAACCAGGAAAUUCUUCCAGCCUGGGAAACUCUUGGCUCUUCCCAGUCCCUCUCUUGGAGCUCUAGCUGCUACUGCAGAUAAGGCUGAGGAAGACCUGGAGAGGAAAGGAGGACAGCCAGCCAGGGAAAAGAAGAGGACUGGUGGGCCCUGGUUUGUCCCCGGCUCUGCCUGUCUCCACUGUGUAGCCUUGAGCAAGUCUCUACCCCUUGGUGGGCCUUGGUUUGUCCAUAUGUAUAAUGGGAGACUAAGUGGUCAUUAAGGACCUUCCUUAUCAACCUUCCUAAGACCUACCCACCCACCACUGCCUUGAACAAAUCGCAAAGCUAGUGUCAGGCCAGGAGGGCCAGGAAAGGAGGCAGCUGAGCUUCAGUUUCCUUAUCUGCUCACUGAGAACCAGAAAGUUCUGUGCUGCCCACCUUGGGGCUCUCACUGGCAAGGAGACAAGCCCGGUUUCCAUGGAAGGAGGGAGUUGACUAAGAUGAUGACUAAGCCUGGACAUUCUAGGGUUCCAUCUUCCUCAAACCACAUUCCCAAGCUCUCUGCCUGCCCUGCCAGGGAGAAGAGCCCCAGACUCUUCAGUGAAGAAAGACACCAACAGGAGAGCAUGAACUCAGUCCCCCACUACCACAAAUCAUGCAGUUGAGUUUUCUACAUUUGGGGAAAUCACAGGGGUUAGCACAUCUGGAGUGCAAUGGAUGAACCAAACCCUGGAAAACCAGCUUCAUGAUCAUGGCACGUCCCCUGACAGUUGAAGUCCAUUCAUCCUCUCAGGCUCAGCCUACACCCUGCCUCCUCCAGGAAGCCCUCGCCGUUCCCAGCCUCUCAGGCCUCCAGGGCCUCCCAGCUUCACCUUGCCCGAAGACUUCACACCCUUGAGGAUACAG